GAUUAAGUUAUUAAGGGCGCACGGUGGAUGCCUUGGCACUAGAAGCCGAUGAAGGACGUUACUAACGACGAUAUGCUUUGGGUAGCUGUAAGUAAGCGUUGAUCCAGAGAUUUCCGAAUGGGGGAACCCAGCAUGAGUUAUGUCAUGUUAUCGACAUGUGAAUUUAUAGCAUGUCAGAAGGCAGACCCGGAGAACUGAAACAUCUUAGUACCCGGAGGAAGAGAAAGAAAAAUCGAUUCCCUGAGUAGCGGCGAGCGAAACGGGAAUAGCCCAAACCAACAAGCUUGCUUGUUGGGGUUGUAGGACACUCUAUACGGAGUUACAAAAGAACAUGUUAGACGAAUCAUCUGGAAAGAUGAAUCAAAGAAGGUAAUAAUCCUGUAGUCGAAAACAUAUUCUCUCUUGAGUGGAUCCUGAGUACGACGGAGCACGUGAAAUUCCGUCGGAAUCUGGGAGGACCAUCUCCUAAGGCUAAAUACUCUCUAGUGACCGAUAGUGAACCAGUACCGUGAGGGAAAGGUGAAAAGUACCCCGGAAGGGGAGUGAAAGAGAACUUGAAACCGUGUGCUUACAAGUAGUCAGAGCCCGUUAAUGGGUGAUGGCGUGCCUUUUGUAGAAUGAACCGGCGAGUUACGAUCUGAUGCAAGGUUAAGCAGCAAAUGUGGAGCCGCAGCGAAAGCGAGUCUGAAUAGGGCGUUGAGUAUUUGGUCGUAGACCCGAAACCAGGUGAUCUACCCUUGGUCAGGUUGAAGUUCAGGUAACACUGAAUGGAGGACCGAACCGACUUACGUUGAAAAGUGAGCGGAUGAACUGAGGGUAGCGGAGAAAUUCCAAUCGAACUUGGAGAUAGCUGGUUCUCUCCGAAAUAGCUUUAGGGCUAGCCUCAAGUGAUGAUUAUUGGAGGUAGAGCACUGUUUGGACGAGGGGCCCCUCUCGGGUUACCGAAUUCAGACAAACUCCGAAUGCCAAUUAAUUUAACUUGGGAGUCAGAACAUGGGUGAUAAGGUCCGUGUUCGAAAGGGAAACAGCCCAGACCACCAGCUAAGGUCCCAAAAUAUAUGUUAAGUGGAAAAGGAUGUGGCGUUGCCCAGACAACUAGGAUGUUGGCUUAGAAGCAGCCAUCAUUUAAAGAGUGCGUAAUAGCUCACUAGUCGAGUGACACUGCGCCGAAAAUGUACCGGGGCUAAACAUAUUACCGAAGCUGUGGAUUGUCCUUUGGACAAUGGUAGGAGAGCGUUCUAAGGGCGUCGAAGCAUGAUCGCAAGGACAUGUGGAGCACUUAGAAGUGAGAAUGCCGGUGUGAGUAGCGAAAGACGGGUGAGAAUCCCGUCCACCGAUUGACUAAGGUUUCCAGAGGAAGGCUCGUCCGCUCUGGGUUAGUCGGGUCCUAAGCUGAGGCCGACAGGCGUAGGCGAUGGAUAACAGGUUGAUAUUCCUGUACCACCUAGUAUCGUUUUAAUCGAUGGGGGGACGCAGUAGGAUAGGCGAAGCGUGCUGUUGGAGUGCACGUCCAAGCAGUAAGGCUGAGUGUUAGGCAAAUCCGGCACUCAUAAGGCUGAGCUGUGAUGGGGAGAGGAAAUUGUUUCCUCGAGUCGUUGAUUUCACACUGCCGAGAAAAGCCUCUAGAUAGAUAACAGGUGCCCGUACCGCAAACCGACACAGGUAGUCAAGAUGAGAAUUCUAAGGUGAGCGAGCGAACUCUCGUUAAGGAACUCGGCAAAAUGACCCCGUAACUUCGGGAGAAGGGGUGCUCUUUAGGGUUCACGCCCAGAAGAGCCGCAGUGAAUAGGCCCAAGCGACUGUUUAUCAAAAACACAGGUCUCUGCUAAACCGUAAGGUGAUGUAUAGGGGCUGACGCCUGCCCGGUGCUGGAAGGUUAAGAGGAGUGGUUAGCUUCUGCGAAGCUACGAAUCGAAGCCCCAGUAAACGGCGGCCGUAACUAUAACGGUCCUAAGGUAGCGAAAUUCCUUGUCGGGUAAGUUCCGACCCGCACGAAAGGCGUAACGAUUUGG
rnacentral:rRNA from 1 species